CAACGACUCUCGGCAACGGAUAUCUCGGCUCUCGCAUCGAUGAAGAACGUAGCGAACUGCGAUACUUGGUGUGAAUUGCAGAAUCCCGUGAACCAUCGAGUCUUUGAACGCAAGUUGCGCCCGAAUCCUUUUGGACGAGGGCACGUUUGCCUGGGUGUCA
rnacentral:rRNA from 3 species